CACACGGAAAUGUGGGUGGACGAUGUGAC
rnacentral:piRNA from 1 species